rnacentral:rRNA from 1 species
CCGUGAAACUGCGAAUGGCUCAUUAAAUCAGUUAUCGUUUAUUUGAUAGUACCUUACUACUUGGAUAACCGUGGUAAUUCUAGAGCUAAUACAUGCUAAAAACCCCGACUUCGGGAGGGGUGUAUUUAUUAGAUAAAAAACCAAUGCCCUUCGGGGCUCUUUGGUGAUUCAUGAUAACUUAACGGAUCGCAUGGCCUUGCGCCGGCGACGGUUCAUUCAAAUUUCUGCCCUAUCAACUUUCGAUGGUAAGGUAUUGGCUUACCAUGGUUUCAACGGGUAACGGGGAAUUAGGGUUCGAUUCCGGAGAGGGAGCCUGAGAAACGGCUACCACAUCCAAGGAAGGCAGCAGGCGCGCAAAUUACCCAAUCCCGACACGGGGAGGUAGUGACAAUAAAUACUGAUACAGGGCUCUUUUGGGUCUUGUAAUCGGAAUGAGUACAAUUUAAACCCCUUAACGAGGAACAAUUGGAGGGCAAGUCUGGUGCCAGCAGCCGCGGUAAUUCCAGCUCCAAUAGCGUAUAUUAAAGUUGUUGCAGUUAAAAAGCUCGUAGUUGAACCUUGGGCCUGGCUGGCCGGUCCGCCUCACCGCGUGUACUGGUCCGGCCGGGCCUUUCCUUCUGGAGAGCCGCAUGCCCUUCACUGGGUGUGCCGGGGAACCAGGACUUUUACUUUGAAAAAAUUAGAGUGUUCAAAGCAGGCCUUUGCUCGAAUACGUUAGCAUGGAAUAAUAGAAUAGGACGUGCGAUCCUAUUUUGUUGGUUUCUAGGACCGCCGUAAUGAUUAAUAGGGAUAGUCGGGGGCAUCAGUAUUCAAUUGUCAGAGGUGAAAUUCUUGGAUUUAUUGAAGACUAACUACUGCGAAAGCAUUUGCCAAGGAUGUUUUCAUUAAUCAGUGAACGAAAGUUAGGGGAUCGAAGACGAUCAGAUACCGUCGUAGUCUUAACCGUAAACUAUGCCGACUAGGGAUCGGGCGAUGUUUUCAUCUUGACUCGCUCGGCACCUUACGAGAAAUCAAA